GCAUCGAUGAAGAACGUAGCAAAUUGCGAUAAGUAUUGUGAAUUGCGGAACCCGUGAAUCAUCAAAUUUUUGAACGCAAAUGGCACUGGUGUUUACACUGGUACAUCUAUUUGAGUGUUGGUAAUUUAUAUUCUAUCAAUAAUAUAAUAGAUAGAAAUUAUGAAUGUCCAUUAUUAUAUUAUAUUGGUCAUUUUAAAUAUAAAAUAUAUCAAAAAAAACAUUCUUUAGCGACUUUAAGUAGUGUUUGGAAUUAAAAUUUGAUAUUAAUUACUUAUUAUUCUAAAUUCAACCUCAAAUUAGAUGAGAGUACCCGCUGAAUUUAAGCAUAUCAAUAAGCGGA
rnacentral:rRNA from 1 species